rnacentral:rRNA from 1 species
UACGUAGGGGGCAAGCGUUGUCCGGAUUUAUUGGGCGUAAAGAGCUCGUAGGUGGUCUGGUAAGUCGGAUGUGAAAUCUCCAGGCUCAACCUGGAGGGGUCAUUCGAUACUGCCAUGACUAGAGGUCGGUAGGGGAGUGUGGAAUUCCUGGUGGAGCGGUGAAAUGCGCAGAUAUCAGGAGGAACACCCGUAGCGAAGGCGGCACUCUGGGCCGAUUCUGACACUGAGGAGCGAAAGCGUGGGGAGCGAACAGG